rnacentral:rRNA from 1 species
CCUACGGUGGGCAGCAGUGAGGAAUAUUGGUCAAUGGACGAGAGUCUGAACCAGCCAAGUAGCGUGAAGGAUGACUGCCCUAUGGGUUGUAAACUUCUUUUAUAAAGGAAUAAAACGAGGCACGUAUGCCUUUUUGUAUGUACUUUAUGAAUAAGGAUCGGCUAACUCCGUGCCAGCAGCCGCGGUAAUACGGAGGAUCCGAGCGUUAUCCGGAUUUAUUGGGUUUAAAGGGAGCGUAGAUGGGUUGUUAAGUCAGUUGUGAAAGUUUGCGGCUCAACCGUAAAAUUGCAGUUGAUACUGGCAGUCUUGAGUACAGUUGAGGUAGGCGGAAUUCGUGGUGUAGCGGUGAAAUGCUUAGAUAUCACGAAGAACCCCGAUUGCGAAGGCAGCUUACUAAACUGUGACUGACAUUGAUGCGCGAAAGUGUGGGUAUCAAACAGGAUUAGAUACCCUUGUAGUC